UACAGAGGUCUCAAGCGUUGUUCGGAUUCAUUGGGCGUAAAGGGUGCGUAGGCGGCGCGGUAAGUCGGGUGUGAAGAUCGUGAGCUUAACUCCGAAACUGCAUUCGAUACUGCCGUGCUUGAGGACUGGAGAGGAGACUGGAAUUUACGGUGUAGCGGUGAAAUGCGUAGAUAUCGUAAGGAAGACCAGUGGCGAAGGCGGGUCUCUGGACAGUUCCUGACGCUGAGGCACGAAGGUCAGGGGAGCAAACGGG
rnacentral:rRNA from 1 species